rnacentral:rRNA from 1 species
AUUGAACGCUGGCGGCAGGCCUAACACAUGCAAGUCGAACGAGUGGCGGACGGGUGCGUAAUGUCUGGGAAACUGCCCGAUGGAGGGGGAUAACUACUGUAACCGGUAGCUAAUACCGCAUACCAUCGGAUGUGCCCAGAUGGGAUUCGCUAGUCGGUGGGGUAAUGGCUCACCUAGGCGACGAUCCCUAGCUGGUCUGAGAGGAUGACCAGCCACACUGGAACUGAGACACGGUCCAGACUCCUACGGGAGGCAGCAGUAGGGAAUAUUGCACAAUGGGCGCAAGCCUGAUUCAGCCAUGCCGCGUGUAUGAAGAAGGCCUUCGGGUUGUAAAGUACUUUCAGCGAGGAGGCGUUACUCACAGAGGAAGCACCGGCUAACUCCGUGCCAGCCGCCGCGGUAAUAC